GAUGAAGAACGCAGCGAAAUGCGAUAAGUAAUGUGAAUUGCAGAAUUCAGUGAAUCAUCGAAUCUUUGAACGCACAUUGCGCCCCCUGGUAUUCCGGGGGGCAUGCCUGUCCGAGCGUCAUUACAACCCUCAAGCUCAGCUUGGUGUUGGGCCCCGCCGCCCCGGCGGGCCCUAAAGUCAGUGGCGGUGCCGUCCGGCUCCGAGCGUAGUAAUUCUUCUCGCUCUGGAGGUCCGGUCGUGUGCUCGCCAGCAACCCCCAAUUUUUUUCAGGUUGACCUCGGAUCAGGUAGGGAUACCCGCUGAACUUAAGCAUAUCAAUAGGCGGAGGA
rnacentral:misc_RNA from 1 species